CCUACGGGUGGCAGCAGUAGGGAAUAUUGCACAAUGGGGGGAACCCUGAUGCAGCAACGCCGCGUGAAGGAAGACGGUUUUCGGAUUGUAAACUUCUAUCAAUAGGGAAGAAAGAAAUGACGGUACCUAAAUAAGAAGCCCCGGCUAACUAAGUGCCAGCAGCCGCGGUAAUCCGUAGGGGGCAAGCGUUAUCCGGAAUUACUGGGUGUAAAGGGAGAGUUGGGGGCAAGGUAAGCGAAGUGUGAAAGCCUUAGGGUUAAACUGAGGAUUGCAUAACGAACGAGCUAGCUAGAGUACAGGAGAGGAAAGCGGAAUUCGUAGUGUAGCGGUGAAAUGCAUAGAUAUCGCGCAGAACUCCGAUUGCGAAGGCAGCAUGCCGGCUCCACACUGACGCUGAGGCACGAAAGCGUGGGUAUCGAACAGGAUUAGAUACCCUUGUAGUC
rnacentral:rRNA from 1 species